rnacentral:ribozyme from 1 species
AAACAAGAAAAGAAAAGAAAAGAAAAGGCAAAAAAAAGACAAAAACGGCUAUACCUCCAUGCCUCUGCCGUCUUUUUCACUCUCUUGCCUUCUACUU